UAGGUGCUGGCAUCAUUUCACAAUCUCAUCAAGCUUUGUCCACAAAAAUCUGUGCUGAUGAGCCCAUGGGACCAAAGGCAGAUCCAGGAAAAUACAACUCUAAAACCCGGAGAGCCAUCAGUCUCAUGCAAUUGUGUGAACUGAAGAAACGGAAGGGCAAAUGCCAGUCUCAUAGGAGGAGGAAAAAAAUUGCCUGGAGAUUUGAUUGCUGAGCCUGAGGAAAAUUUCCUGACUUUUUUUCCAUGGUAAAUGUUCCGAACUAUGGCCAUUUUCAGAGAUUACCUCUUUCCUGACAACCCUUUUUUUUCCCCACUGUGUUCAAUAUAAAGUACUUUUCCUUUCCACAGCCUAUAAAAGAUGGCUAAUCCGCAAACUGAAAGCCAAGUCCUUUGCCCUUCCCGGUGCUGAGCCGUGACGCAGAGAAAAAUACUCUGCCAGCAGUAAUCGCGUCGCAACUGUUGCCUGCGGCCUGCUUUACGCAGGAUGGCAAGUCAGCAAGUGAUAUGUUUCCAAAUGACCUCUGUCAGUGCCUAAAAAGAAAAAGCAAAGACCACAGCAGCCCGCUUUACUGGGAAAGGCCGCCUCAAGCACUACCAAGGGAGAGCCGAGGGGAAGAGGAAGAGCAGAAAAGUGUCCUUGCAUCACCAUCUAGUGGCUGCAGGUCGCUGUGUUUGGUAAAAUAAAUCCAGCGCCCACAGGUCCUUUUGUGGGGACAUUUUCUCCCCUGCCUGUUAAUGCCUUGCAACCUGCCAAGUGACGGAGAAGCACAUUGCUAUACCUGUGUCAGAAAUGCUGGGCUGAGACAAAGCUCCUAGAUGCGUUGUAUUUCUGUGAUACAGCUAUAAAUGCUCCAACUUCCCAUAAAAGUACCUUUUUUUCAGGCUCACUUGAACCAGAAACCCUGCUCAAGGAGUGUUUCUCAAGGCUCAGUCUCCACGGCCUUACCUUUCGCACAGCUGACUUUGAAGCAGGGCCAAGAGCUCUUCCAUUGGCAAGCCUUUACACUUCUGUACACAGGUGUUUGAAAAUGCCCUGCUUUGGAGCACUGCAUGUCAGAUGUGUUGAAUGCUGCCGAUGAAGUGCUGUGAGCAGGUCCCAGCCCUUCCCCGGUCUCCAGCUGCUCGGGGCUGGCAGCAGCACAAGUACAGCCGUGGAAAUUGAAAUUCUGAGCGUAUUUUCCCCGUUGAAGACCUGUGAGCUACUGAGGGUAAAAGGCACACUUCACCAUGACUGUCUCUGCUCUCAGAGAUAUAUUUUUUAAAUGCUUUAUGGUCUGUAGAGCAAAAGCUGGUCUUCACCUUGAAUCAAAUAUCCUUUUUGGAGGCGGUCACAUUAGACUCCCCCUCUGCCCUCACCUUAGCUCUAUAAUUACAGCUA